GGACUCCCAGAGAUCCGCCUGCCUCUGCUUUCCAAGCACUGGGAUUAAAGGUGUGUGUCACCCUCCACACUGGGCUUGGACCACUACUCUUUUAUGUCCCCUGGUGACCAAAAACCCUUCAAAGUGCUUUCCUACUAAACUGUAGCACCUCAGAAAUUCCACUUGUAGACUGUUCUCAAGCUCUGACUUUCACAAGAAAUAGAAUCUUGAGUAGACGAGCCAUAGUCAGAAAAGUAGAAUGUGGUGACCUAACAGCUCCUAAGAUAGAACGCGCCAGCACAGACAGAAACCAAAAAGCAGUUGUACUCAAAUACUUUUGCCCUGUGCCUCUGGAUAUAGAAAUGUCAAGAGGGUUAAAUGAAUGACUUCUGUUUUUAUCAUGGGGUGAUUUACAGAACAUGAGUCAGUCACCUUCAGAGAACCCUCUACCUAGUCUGCACUUUUUGUUUACUGGACUGUUUGUGCCUGAGGACUGACAGCUCUCCAGGGUGGGAAUUCUGGCCGCUCCUCUAUGCUGUCACAUGUCGCCUUGGUUAUGAAAUUAUUCAGUAUGCCUACUAUGAGCAGCAUCAUGACACUUCUCUUCUGGAGGACUCUAAAGAAUAUCCAAGUAAACCCAGUCCUCAGCAAGGCCAAGGAAGAACACCAGAAACUUCUGCUGGAGCUUCAUAAGAGGUAAUAAAGUGGAAUGACUAAGAGGCUUUGGAGUCAGAUGGACCUGGGUUUGACUCCAGUUUCCAACACUCACUAGCUUUAUAAAGUAAAUUUCCUUAUCCUUU